ensembl:snoRNA
AGAUCAUAUCAAAGAGAGCUUGUGGGCUCAAAACCAGGCACUCUUAACACUGUGGCCAAAGAUUGAAGUUCUCCAUAGGAUGUAAUUGUCACUCAAUAGUGCUAUGUUUUCCUUAAGACACAUAAGA